rnacentral:rRNA from 1 species
GAUGAACGCUGGCGGCGUGCCUAAUACAUGCAAGUCGAGCGAACGGACGAGAAGCUUGCUUCUCUGAUGUUAGCGGCGGACGGGUGAGUAACACGUGGAUAACCUACCUAUAAGACUGGGAUAACUUCGGGAAACCGGAGCUAAUACCGGAUAAUAUUUUGAACCGCAUGGUUCAAAAGUGAAAGACGGUCUUGCUGUCACUUAUAGAUGGAUCCGCGCUGCAUUAGCUAGUUGGUAAGGUAACGGCUUACCAAGGCAACGAUGCAUAGCCGACCUGAGAGGGUGAUCGGCCACACUGGAACUGAGACACGGUCCAGACUCCUACGGGAGGCAGCAGUAGGGAAUCUUCCGCAAUGGGCGAAAGCCUGACGGAACAACGCCGCGUGAGUGAUGAAGGUCUUCGGAUCGGAAAGCUCUGUUAUUAGGGAAGAACAUAUGUGUAAGUAACUGUGCACAUCUUGACGGUACCUAAUCAGAAAGCCACGGCUAACUACGUG